rnacentral:rRNA from 1 species
AGAACGAACGCUGGCGGCAGGCCUCAAACAUGCAAGUCUAGGGGGCGUAGCAAUACGUCACCGGCGGACGGGUGCGUAACACGUGGGAAUGUACUUACUGGUUCGGAACAACUCAGGGAAACUUGAGCUAAUACCGAAUGUGCCCGAAAGGGGAAAGAUUUAUCGCCAGUAAAUCAGCCCGCGUCCGAUUAGCUAGUUGGCGGGGUAAAGGCCCACCAAGGCGACGAUCGGUAGCUGUUCUGAGAGGAAGAUCAGCCACACUGGGACUGAGACACGGCCCCAGACUCCUACGGGAGGCAGCAGUUGGGAAUCUUGGACAAUGGGGGAAACCCUGAUCCAGCCAUGCCGCGUGAGUGAUGAAGGCCUUCGGGUUGUAAACUCUUUCGACGGGGACGAUAAUGACGGUACCCGUAGAAGAAGCUCCGGCUAACUUCGCGCCAGCAGCCGC